rnacentral:rRNA from 1 species
UUUCUGCCCAAUGUAUUAAAAUAAAUGGCCGCAGUACCUUGACUGUGCUAAGGUAGCGUAAUCAAUUGGCUUUUAAUUGAAGUCUAGUAUGAAAGGGAUAAUGAAAUUUUUCUGUCUUAAAAACUUUAAUUAAAAUUUAUUUAAAAGGUGAAAAUACCUUUUUAAAAAAUAAAGACGAGAAGACCCUAUGAAUUUUUAUUUUUUUUGUUGGGGCGACAAUUUAACACUUUAAUCUUAAAUUAUAUAAAAUAUAUCGAUUAUAUUAAUUUAAAAAAAAUUACCUUAGGGAUAACAGCAUUAUUGUUAAAACAGUUUGUGACCUCGAUGUUGGACUAGGAACUAUAAGGCUAGCCGUCUUAAUAGAUUUGUUCUGUUC